rfam:Morus notabilis contig5445, whole genome shotgun sequence.
GGCUUACACUUGAUCUAUGAACUUCAGGCAAGUUCAAGUGUUGACCAUUUUAUUGAUUGAUGCU